rnacentral:rRNA from 1 species
CCUGGCUCAGAUUGAACGCUGGCGGCAUGCCUUACACAUGCAAGUCGAACGGCAGCACGGGUGCUUGCACCUGGUGGCGAGUGGCGAACGGGUGAGUAAUACAUCGGAACAUGUCCUGUAGUGGGGGAUAGCCCGGCGAAAGCCGGAUUAAUACCGCAUACGAUCUACGGAUGAAAGCGGGGGACCUUCGGGCCUCGCGCUAUAGGGUUGGCCGAUGGCUGAUUAGCUAGUUGGUGGGGUAAAGGCCUACCAAGGCGACGAUCAGUAGCUGGUCUGAGAGGACGACCAGCCACACUGGGACUGAGACACGGCCCAGACUCCUACGGGAGGCAGCAGUGGGGAAUUUUGGACAAUGGGCGAAAGCCUGAUCCAGCAAUGCCGCGUGUGUGAAGAAGGCCUUCGGGUUGUAAAGCACUUUUGUCCGGAAAGAAAUCCCUGGCUCUAAUACAGUCGGGGGAUGACGGUACCGAAG